rnacentral:rRNA from 1 species
AGAGUUUGAUCAUGGCUCAGGAUGAACGCUAGCUACAGGCUUAACACAUGCAAGUCGAGGGGAAACGAUAUUGGAAGCUUGCUUCCGAUAGGCGUCGACCGGCGCACGGGUGAGUAACGCGUAUCCAACCUGCCCACCACUUGGGGAUAACCUUGCGAAAGUAAGACUAAUACCCAAUGACGUCUCUAGAAGACAUCUGAAGGAGAUUAAAGAUUUAUCGGUGAUGGAUGGGGAUGCGUCUGAUUAGCUUGUUGGCGGGGUAACGGCCCACCAAGGCAACGAUCAGUAGGGGUUCUGAGAGGAAGGUCCCCCACAUUGGAACUGAGACACGGUCCAAACUCCUACGGGAGGCAGCAGUGAGGAAUAUUGGUCAAUGGGCGAGAGCCUGAACCAGCCAAGUAGCGUGCAGGAAGACGGCCCUGUGGGUUGUAAACUGCUUUUAUAAGGGAAUAAAGUGAGUCUCGUGAGACUUUUUGCAUGUACCUUAUGAAUAAGGACCGGCUAAUUCCGUGCCAGCAGCCGCGGUAAAACGUAGGGUGCAAGCGUUGUCCGGAAUUACUGGGUGUAAAGGGAGCGCAGGCGGGAAGACAAGUUGGAAGUGAAAACCAUGGGCUCAACCCAUGAAUUGCUUUCAAAACUGUUUUUCUUGAGUAGUGCAGAGGUAGAUGGAAUUCCCGGUGUAGCGGUGGAAUGCGUAGAUAUCGGGAGGAACACCAGUGGCGAAGGCGGUCUACUGGGCACCAACUGACGCUGAGGCUCGAAAGCAUGGGUAGCAAACAGGAUUAGAUACCCUGGUAGUCCAUGCCGUAAACGAUGAUUACUAGGUGUUGGGGGAUUGACCCACUCAGUGCCGCAGUUAACACAAUAAGUAAUCCACCUGGGGAGUACGACCGCAAGGUUGAAACUCAAAGGAAUUGACGGGGGCCCGCACAAGCAGUGGAGUAUGUGGUUUAAUUCGAAGCAACGCGAAGAACCUUACCAGGUCUUGACAUCCGAUGCAUAGCACAGAGAUGUGUGAAAUCCUUCGGGACAUCGAGACAGGUGGUGCAUGGUUGUCGUCAGCUCGUGUCGUGAGAUGUUGGGUUAAGUCCCGCAACGAGCGCAACCCUUAUUGCCAGUUACUACGUUAAGAGGACUCUGGCGAGACUGCCGUUGACAAAACGGAGGAAGGUGGGGAUGACGUCAAAUCAUCAUGCCCUUUAUGACCUGGGCUACACACGUACUACAAUUGCGUUAAACAAAGAGAAGCAAGACCGCGAGGUGGAGCAAAACUCAAAAACAACGUCUCAGUUCAGAUUGCAGGCUGCAACUCGCCUGCAUGAAGUCGGAAUUGCUAGUAAUCGCGGAUCAGCAUGCCGCGGUGAAUACGUUCCCGGGCCUUGUACACGCCGCCCGUCACACCAUGAGAGCCGGGGGGACCCGAAGUCGAUAGUCUAACCGCAAGGAGGACGUCGCCGAAGGUAAAACUGGUGAUUGGGGUGAAGUCGUAACAAGGUA